AGUGAACGCUGGCGGUAGGCCUAACACAUGCAAGUCGAACGGCAGCACAGUAAGAGCUUGCUCUUACGGGUGGCGAGUGGCGGACGGGUGAGGAAUACAUCGGAAUCUACUUUUUCGUGGGGGAUAACGUAGGGAAACUUACGCUAAUACCGCAUACGACCUACGGGUGAAAGUAGGGGAUCUUCGGACCUUGCGCGAUUGAAUGAGCCGAUGUCGGAUUAGCUAGUUGGCGGGGUAAAGGCCCACCAAGGCGACGAUCCGUAGCUGGUCUGAGAGGAUGAUCAGCCACACUGGAACUGAGACACGGUCCAGACUCCUACGGGAGGCAGCAGUGGGGAAUAUUGGACAAUGGGCGCAAGCCUUAUCCAGCCAUACCGCGUGGGUGAAGAAGGCCUUCGGGUUGUAAAGCCCUUUUGUUGGGAAAGAAAAGCAGCAGGUUAAUACCCCGCUGUUCUGACGGUACCCAAAGAAUAAGCACCGGCUAACUUCGUG
rnacentral:rRNA from 1 species